ACCAACUGAGCAUUCCCAGCCCAUGGCCAUUUUAAUAGGUGUGUAACCAUAUCUUAUUGUUCCAUCUCCAUUUUGGCAUAUGAUGUAGAGCAUCCUUUCUUCUGCUUAUUUUCUAUCUAUAGAUCUGCUUGGGUGGAGGGCCUGUUAAGAUGUUUGGCCCAUUUUAUUAAGGGUGGUUUGUUUCAUUAUUGUUGAAUUUUAAUAAUUUGUGUAUUUUGGAUAAUAGUCCUUUAUUGGAUGUAUCUUUUGCAAAUAGUUUCUCCUAGUUUGUAGCUUAUAUCUCACCCUUGCUAUAAUUACUCAGUUGUUCUAGGAGUCUCUACAUUGAUGAUCAUGCCAUCUGCAAACAGUUUUAUUUCCUCUUAUUCUGCAUACCUCUCAUUUCCUUUUCUUGUAUUAUUGCAUUGGCUAGGACUUCUAGUACGAAGUUGAAAGUAACAGUGGGAGGGAACAUCCUUGCCCUAUUUUUUUUUUUUUUUAGAGAGAGAGAGAGAGAGAGAGAGAGAGAGAAUUUUUAAAAAAAUAUUUAUUUUUCAGUUUUUGGAGGACACAACAUCUUUGUUUAUAUGUGGUGCUGAGGAUCGAACCCAGGCCGCACGCAUGCCAGGCGAGCGCGCUACCACUUGAGCCACAUCCCCAGCCCCCUUGCCCUAUUUUUGAUCUUAGUGGUCAAGUUUCUAGUUUCUCAGUACUAAGUAUAUUGUUAGCUGUGUUUUUGUAAAAAAUUUUUUUUAUCAAGUUGAGGAAAUUUUCGAUUUCUAGUUUACUGAGAGGAUUAGCUUUCUGUUGAGUACUGACUACAUAAUACACCUUUGUUCAUCUUUUUACAUUCAGAUUGUCUACAUUCUUAUAUUUAAGGUGUCACCCUUAUAGGCACAUAGGAUUUCCUUUUAUGGAAUUGUUUUUAUUUGUUUAUUUUCUCACAGUGCUGGGGAUUGAACCCAUGGCUUUUGUGCAUGUUAUGUGUGUGCUCUGCUACUGAGCUACACCCCAGCCCUGAGCCUUUUUUUUUUUUGGAGUAUUUGCUAUGCUAUGUCUAAAGUAGUUACUAAUUUGGGCUUAAAUAAUACCGUCUUACCCUCUACUUUCUAUUGAUUUCUGCUUUUGGUUUUUCUCUCUUGCUGACUUUUGGAUUCAGAUUUUUGAAACAGUUGUAUUUCCUCUUGUUUGUUUAUUUGUUUUGGGUGAUUGGUCCUGCGUCAGCCUAUGAGAUGUAUACUUCUUUUAGUGGUCACCCUAGAUGACAACACCCUCCCUGACUGCUUGGCAGCGUCAUUGUAUGUGAGGACUCCCAGCACUUCCUGGACAGAGGCCAGCCUACUCUUUCAUCUUCCUGCCCGCAGUACUGUUCUUUAACAGAUUCUAGUUCUUUCUGUAUUGGAAAUGACAACAGACAUUGCUGUUAAUUCUUUCCGCAGCCACUGUUCAGUUCAUUAAGCUCAUUAUCCAUGUAUCUCUAUUACUCUGUUACCUUUUAAAAUUACUAUUUGUUUAUUUCUGUACUUUCAUGAUCUGUCUUACAUUUGUCUCUUUCUCAUUCUCCUGGAAUUAACU
rnacentral:lncRNA from 1 species